rnacentral:rRNA from 1 species
UUAGUAACGGCGAGUGAAGCGGCAAAAGCUCAAAUUUGAAAUCUAACGCCUCUGGUGUUCGAGUUGUAAUUUGGAGAGGCAUCUUCCGGAGGGGCCCAGCCUAUGUGCCUUGGAACAGGACGUCAUAGAGGGUGAGAAUCCCGUUCUUGGCUGGAUGUUCCCUCCUUUAUGUAGUGUCUUCUACGAGUCGAGUUGUUUGGGAAUGCAGCUCAAAAUGGGUGGUAAAUUUCAUCUAAAGCUAAAUACUGGCGAGAGACCGAUAGCGCACAAGUAGAGUGAUCGAAAGAUGAAAAGCACUUUGAAAAUAGAGUCAAAAAGUACGUGAAAUUGUUGAAAGGGAAGCGCUUGAGACCAGAGUCAGCCUUUGGCAAACAAUUGUCCUUUGGGGCGGUGCACUUGUCAUUGGUUGGGCCAGCAUCGAUUGGGACGGUGGGAUAAAGGCUUGGGAAAUGUGACUCCAUUACGGAGUGUUAUAGUCCCAGGUGUCAUGCCAUCAGUCCCGAUCGUGGACCGCGCUUUGGCUCGGAUGCUGGCUUAAUGGUCUUCA